CCCGCUGAACUUAAGCAUAUCAAUAAGCGGAGGAAAAGAAACCAACAGGGAUUGCCUCAGUAACGGCGAGUGAAGCGGCAACAGCUCAAAUUUGAAAUCUGGCCUCUGGCCCGAGUUGUAAUUUGCAGAGGAUGCUUCGGGCGCGGUGCCUUCCAAGUCCCCUGGAACGGGGCGCCGGAGAGGGAGAGAGCCCCGUACGGUUGGCGGCCAAGCCUGUGUGAAGCUCCUUCGACGAGUCGAGUAGUUUGGGAAUGCUGCUCUAAGCGGGAGGUAGACCCCUUCUAAAGCUAAAUACCGGCCAGAGACCGAUAGCGCACAAGUAGAGUGAUCGAAAGAUGAAAAGCACUUUGAAAAGAGGGUUAAACAGCACGUGAAAUUGUUGAAAGGGAAGCGCUUGCGACCAGACGUGCGCCGGGGUGCUCAGCGGGCGUUCUCGCCCGUGCACUCGCCCCGGCGCAGGCCAGCGUCGGUUUGGGUGGGGGGAUAAAGGCGUCUGGAAUGUGGCUCCUCCGGGAGUGUUAUAGCCAGGCGUGCCAUGCCUCCGCCUAGACCGAGGUACGCGUUCUGCAAGGACGCUGGCGUAAUGGUCUCCAGCGACCCGUCUUGAAACACGG
rnacentral:rRNA from 1 species